UGCAGUUAUAGUACAGUUUGGUUAAUAUUCGAGCUUGCCAAGUUCGUGACCCGGGUUCAAAUCCCGGUAACUGCACCAU
rnacentral:tRNA from 1 species